rnacentral:lncRNA from 1 species
CUGAAAUUAAGAUUUUAUGUUAUAAGUACCUUUUGAAACACAAAAUAUAUCUAAAUUAAAAUUGAAUUCCCGGCCGGUCGACCAGCAUGGCGGAGCUUUCCAGAGAGGUUGGGGGGGUGAUUUGAGGAAUGGUAUAUAGCCUUUUUAUUUGAGCACAAUAUUGGGUGGGGUACCACUACGACUAGGGCGGCUCGUGACAAUAAUUUAAUUU